rnacentral:rRNA from 1 species
GAUGAACGCUGGCGGCGUGCCUAAUACAUGCAAGUCGAGCGAACAGACGAGGAGCUUGCUCCUCUGACGUUAGCGGCGGACGGGUGAGUAACACGUGGAUAACCUACCUAUAAGACUGGGAUAACUUCGGGAAACCGGAGCUAAUACCGGAUAAUAUAUUGAACCGCAUGGUUCAAUAGUGAAAGACGGUUUUGCUGUCACUUAUAGAUGGAUCCGCGCCGCAUUAGCUAGUUGGUAAGGUAACGGCUUACCAAGGCAACGAUGCGUAGCCGACCUGAGAGGGUGAUCGGCCACACUGGAACUGAGACACGGUCCAGACUCCUACGGGAGGCAGCAGUAGGGAAUCUUCCGCAAUGGGCGAAAGCCUGACGGAGCAACGCCGCGUGAGUGAUGAAGGUCUUCGGAUUGUAAAACUCUGUUAUUAGGGAAGAACAAAUGUGUAAGUAACUAUGCACGUCUUGACGGUACCUAAUCAGAAAGCCACGGAUAACUACGUG